CAGGUUUCGCGGAAUUUGGAACUGGUAGGGUUGCAAUCAUCACAAAGAAACGACACAGAAAUUCAAAAUAGAUUAACAAAGUCGUUUGCAUUGAUGAUCGGUGCAUUGAUGUGUUGCUAUAUCCCUGCAUGUAUAGCAGUGUACUACAUGAACCUUUGCAAUCCCUGCAACUGUGACGUUAUCGAGUGGCUGAGGGACCUCGUCUUUUGGCUUAUCUUGCUCAAUUCGGCAAUCGACCCAUUUAUAUAUGCGCUCCGUACCAGGCAAUUUCGUAAAGCAGUGCGAAAUAUACUGUCUUGUAAAUGUAGGGAAAAAACCAAUACAGCCCAGCAAAGGUACAUUGCUAAAUUUAAUAAUAUCACACCCCAUCAGAAACGAAUUGCAGAACUUCUUCCUAAACAAGAAGGAUAUGGCUCAACAACUACUGAGACAACUUGCCUUACUUAGAAUUGCCUACCAAUAAUUGUAACAUUAUGCUUAUAGACUGAGAUCACACUAUCAAGCCUCCAUGUAAAAGUUGUGUAAAAUAACACAUCUUUAAUAAGUACAAGGUGUGUAAUACAAAGGUGUGUAAUUUUACACACCCAAUGUUGUGUAAUCGAACACACACCUAAGGUGUGUAAUUUUGUAUACAAGGUGUGUAUAAUUACACACCUUGGCUUCCAUAUUGCAAGAGAUGUGUAAUUAUACACACCUUUAUUCGAAAAGGUGUGUAUUUAUAUACAUACUUUGAUGUGUAAAAUUAAUUACACACUCUUUUGUAGGGCAUGGUAGAAAAGACGGAGUGCGGAGUACGGAGUCGGAGUAUAGAGUGGAGAACGGCGGAGUUUGGUUAAAAUCGAAUCUUUAGGCAAAAUAAACAAUUGUUUGACAGACUCCACACACUGACUCCGCUCUCCGUCUUUUCCACCAUGCCAUUUUUUAGAAUGUAUGGUUAAAUGAAAGAUAAAUAGAGUCAAAGAAAGACAAAGGCGAAUUACUAGCCACGAUAUUGUAUGAUGCCCGUGAAUACUUACCCACUGCAUAUAGAGAAUGGAUUCAAUAUAUUAAAAUCAACACAGUCGAUUCAAAUUGUGAAAAUUAAACGAUCCUGUAUAAUACAGGAAGGACUAGGUCGGUAUUGUGCGGUAAGGCUAGUCAUAUAAUGUAGCUAUAAAUUAUCUAUGAACAUCAUUAAUGAUGCUCGUGAAAGCUCUAUUUAAUUGGCACAUACUGACAUACGAAUGCGAUAUAUUAUAAUAUCGGCGC